UGUGAUUUGGCUGAGGCCCAGCUGUGGCUCUGGUGUGCUUUGUUCCAGUCCCUAGUUUGGCAUUACAUAUCUCUCACACCAGAACUCCGAAUAAAGAAGCAAUGGCUCCUUGGGAUCCGCUCCUCUUUUACUGGAUGGUAUGAGUGCCAAAGAGUGAAAGCAUGAGACACCUCCCUAAAGAACAACCCCUCAGAUCACAGCCUUGACCUUCCCAGUGUUUCAGAGGUCCAUUGAAGAACCACCAGCGCACCUCUCUCCCCAGCUCAGUAGAGCAGGAGGAAAACAGCUUCUCAAAAGCCUUCUGAACACAUUCAUGUGAUGAGAGCUAUUUCCUGUCUGAGAAUGGAAGUCAGGGAAGGACGAAGGAAAAUGCAAGACUAAACUGCCACUGGCCUGGGAGUCUCCACCCAUUUCCUGCACUGUGGCCACUGCUAUAGGUAGUUACCAGGUAAUAUCUCUUCCUCCAGUUUGCAAAGUCUCUGGUAUUAUCAGUUAUGAAAAUGUAAUCUAAAAUUGAUAGAAUAGGCCGGGCACGGUGGUUCACGCCUGUAAUCCCA
rnacentral:lncRNA from 1 species